CAAAAAAUUAGCAGUGAAAAUGCUUCACUACUCUAUGCGUGGGUAUAGUGAAAAACGUUCAGCUGCCUGACAUUAACCUGUUGUUGACUUCUCAGUUUUAGAAUUUGGAGGUUGACCUGAACUAAGAUAUGUUAAGCUGCCUGCUCCACAAGAAACCACCUCCCUCGCUGCUGCUUGCUGCUUUCUCUUUAGCCAACAACCAAAGCCACUGCCAGUGUCAGGGAGAUGAGACUUCACAAGCUACAGUUGAAAAGCCAAAAUUUUGGCCUAAGAGGAUCCCCA
rnacentral:lncRNA from 1 species